AAGGUACGGGAGGCAGCAGUGGGGAAUCUUCCGCAAUGGGCGCAAGCCUGACGGAGCAACGCCGCGUGAGUGAAGAAGGUUUUCGGAUUGUAAAGUGCUUUCAGCAGGGAAGAAGAAAGUGACGGUACCUGCAGAAGAAGCGACGGCUAAAUACGUGCCAGCAGCCGCGGUAAUCCUU
rnacentral:rRNA from 1 species